CUUUCGUUUUCUUCAUCGAGACUAUUCGUGUAUUAACAUCAAUCAAAGAUUUAAAAUCAUUUCUAGAGUCUUAUCUUGGCGCUCUCUCUCACAUCACUUUUGCCUUGCUCCGCAGCACGUAGGAAAACUAGAAAUUAAGAGAAAUUAAUACUAAAAACUAAUGAAAAAAAAUAGCAAAUAGCUCUCAAUUCAAACCAACAAUUUGGACUUUAGAUUAAUAGAAUCAAGAUGGAGGAUUCUGGAGCAAUUCUUUACCAAAUUUCAUGCCUCAAGGAAAUGCUUGAUCAGGUUAAUGAAGAAAUCGAAUCCAAUAUUGAAGUAUCGCGGGAGAUUGAAUCAGAGAUGGUCAAGUGUACGGAGUUCGAAGCUGCUCUUACUACUAGAGAAUCCCUGCUUACCAAAUCGCUAUACAUUUCUCACUUCGAAAUCGAUGGCUUGCUCUCCGUCAUCGCCGAUUCAAGAAAUUCGCUUAAAUUUUUGGAGGAGGAGUUGAGUUGUCUAACCACGAAACGAGAUGAGAUGUUAAAGAGGAUUGACGAUAAACGAGACGGAUUUACCAAACAGUGCUUAGAAUUUCAAAGGGAGAUUGACAAGGGGGAUAACAACGAGCUGGUGAAUUUGCUGUCAGAGAAAGAGCUUCUUGAGAAUGAAAUUCAUCUCUUGCAUAAGAAAAACAAUGCUUUGAGAAAUUCAAUGUCCGCUUUUGUGGAAGAAAUUCUUGAAGACCUUUAUUCUUCAAAUGCAGGUAAUCCCCAACCAUAGUGGGUCUGGAGCUGUGAGGGAUUCGGAGUGACCACACGUUCUGCAAAUUCGAUUUUUAUUCUGUGCCGCUUAUUUAGCUCAAGGAUCCUUUGAAGUCGGAGAUAUCGAUCACACUAUCAAUCGAAGCACUUGGUAUAGUAAAAAUCUUCUUUUCAGUAUGGCAUGUAUAGGGCUAGACUAGGAUGUUUGAUUUAAUGAGAAAUUGGUUAUGUAUUUUGGCUUAAGUCAAAAGCCUUUCAUUUUGUAUUAAGCCUAGAAUAAUGGCUAUUAUUCAUUUUGGUAACUGCAUAUAAUGUUCUUUCUAUGGAUGAAUUGGUAUAUUGAAA